rnacentral:rRNA from 1 species
UACGUAGGGACCAAGCGUUGUCCGGAUUUAUUGGGCGUAAAGAGCUCGUAGGCGGCUUGUUGCGUCGACCGUGAAAACCCGGGGCUCAACUUCGGGCUUGCGGUCGAUACGGGCGGGCUAGAGUUCGGUAGGGGAGACUGGAAUUCCUGGUGUAGCGGUGAAAUGCGCAGAUAUCAGGAGGAACACCGGUGGCGAAGGCGGGUCUCUGGGCCGAUACUGACGCUGAGGAGCGAAAGCGUGGGGAGCGAACAGG